CCGGGGUGCACACGCGAGCAGCGCGGGGCGGCGGCGCCGUCCCUGCCCGUCCUGGCUCCCCGAGCGGGGAGCCUCGCUGUCCGCCUUCGUACGCGUACGGCGAAACGCUGGCAUGUUAGCGGGACCGGAGGAGGAGACUGUUCAUACACGUAUGGUGAAACGGUGGCAUGUUAGCAGGACCAGAGGAGGAGACUGAUUCCUUUCUCAUCUGUGAAGCAAACAAGAGAAAGAGCAUUUUCUGUGCACUUUGACACCACGAGAAAGGCUCCCUGCUGGCAGAAGUUCAGGGCUCUCCUGUGACAUGGCUACUCAGCUGCGAGCCUCACCUCUCCUGCCCAGCCCCGCACUGGCCUGGCCUUGCCUGGUGCUGCAGGGGGUGCGCGAGCAGCACCGGCACACUGAAACGGGCGUCCUACUCCACUGCAAAUGGCCUCGGGUCCUCAACCAGCCUCCUAGCACCGCCAGAGACUGACUACCCACAAGCACAAACCAAACCAGGCACCAUGACACAAAUACCCCUGAUAAACUGUCAGACCUUGGAAACAUUUCCCCAGGAGUAUCUAAAUACCUUUGCUGAGUAUCCUGGCUCUCUUCUGCCUUAGUUUUUCUCUAUAACUCUUCUCAUUCCUCUUCUUGUUUGUCGUCUGGAUUUUUGAUCUUGUUUUGUUUCUCCACUAGCUUCUCUCAUC